UCUGACCAUUCAGAGAAGAGUCACCUGACAAUGCUGGGAUUGGUCAAUGAGUAGGCAUAUUCACUGUCCAAUGAAGGAUGCUGGGAUGAUUCCUAGUAUUGGAGGGCCAUUAUAAGGUACCCCUGUUUUUGCAGAUGACAGAUUGGAUAUGGAGCCCUGUCCUUUCCGAUGCUAAUUGGCAGCCUUCCCAUUGGCUGGCCACUAAAGCUUGUAUCACUGUGCUGAGAUCACAGGGAUGGGAGUGAGUGGAUCCCUCCUUUCCCAUCAUGCUUCUCUAACCCAGCCAGAAACCGGAAAGACCUCCAUAACCAAGGCAGGGUAGCAACAUACAAGUCUGAGCAGAGAGAAAUUAGAUGGCAACAAUUCCUGACAUGAAAAUCAACGCGGGCACUGGCAGCUGCAGCUCACCAUUUGCUCUUCCAGGUCUCCAGCAACAUCCUCAACAUCUCCGGUUUUGCUCCAUGGGUGAGGACCGCCUCCACCCAUCAUCUAUGAAGGGCUAGAUGCAUGACAAGCUUGGCCUACAAGAGACAAGAACUACCCUCUACAACCAUGGUUGAAGCUGAGGCCGAGUGUAUGUAGCCCAUUCUUCAACCAGGGCCAUUGUGGAGCAGACGAUAGAACUCCUGAAGAUAAGGUUCCAAUAUAUGAGUUGGCUUGGAGGCCCUCACAGUAUAGACAAAAUAUGCAACAUAAUCCUGGUAAACUAUGCACUAUAUAAAUAGAGCUGACAAAGAGGGGAUGUGAUGUUGAAGAGCUGGAAGAACAACAGCUAUCUCUCAUGGAGGAAGGUGAGGACAUUGAGCAGGAGGAAUGCCAUUUUCAGCUUGAAAGAAUGGUGCAGCAUUAUGUGCAACAUCAGACACUAUUGAAUUGAUGCCCACUUACAGCAGAUAUAAGUUGGGUGAAGUGCUCACUCAUUGACUGUAAUUUGUUUUUGCUCAAAAGACAAGCAGGUUCUCUUCGUUCCC